UACAGAGGGUGCGAGCGUUAAUCGGAAUUACUGGGCGUAAAGCGUGCGUAGGUGGUUUCUUAAGUCCGUUGUGAAAGCCCUGGGCUCAACCUGGGAACUGCAGUGGAUACUGAGAGGCUAGAGUGUGUCAGAGGAUGGUGGAAUUCCCGGUGUAGCGGUGAAAUGCGUAGAGAUCGGGAGGAACAUCAGUGGCGAAGGCGGCCAUCUGGGACAACACUGACGCUGAGGCACGAAAGCGUGGGGAGCAAACAAG
rnacentral:rRNA from 1 species